rnacentral:rRNA from 1 species
CCGGCGCACGGGUGAGUAACGCGUAUGCAACCUACCUACUACUUUGGGAUAGCUCGUUGAAAGACGAAUUAAUACCUUAUAAAACAGGGGCUCCGCAUGGAGAUAUUUGUUAAAGAUUUAUUGGUAGUAGAUGGGCAUGCGUUCCAUUAGUUAGUUGGUGAGGUAACGGCUCACCAAGACAACGAUGGAUAGGGGAACUGAGAGGUUUAUCCCCCACACUGGAACUGAGACACGGUCCAGACUCCUACGGGAGGCAGCAGUGAGGAAUAUUGGUCAAUGGAGGCAACUCUGAACCAGCCAAGUCGCGUGAAGGAUGACUGCCCUACGGGUUGUAAACUUCUUUUUUAAGGGAAUAAAGUGAGCCACGUGUGGCUUUUUGCAUGUACCUUACGAAUAAGGAUCGGCUAACUCCGUGCCAGCAGCCGCGGUAAUACGGAGGAUCCGAGCGUUAUCCGGAUUUAUUGGGUUUAAAGGGUGCGCAGGCGGAAUAUUAAGUCGGCGGUGAUAGUUUGCA